rnacentral:lncRNA from 1 species
UGGUCCUCCUCCUCUUUCCACUGCCUGGGAAACCGCCCUCGGGUGCUCUCCGGCCUCUGGGACAGACAGGAAAACUCCUCAGCACGGGAGGAUCUUAUUCCCUGACUCGCUUUUGGUUGAAAAGCCAGUCACCAGACCUCAGAGAUCUUUGCAAGGGUUUACAAACUGCAUCUUGUUGUUUUCCAAAGCAGGGGUCUGUGGUCUGUGGUCUGGAUGGACACCGACUGACUGAACCGGCACCUCGCGAUGGGCAUGGAAGACGCUUCCGCCCCCAAGCCCAUCAGAGGGCCGUGGUCAACCCCCCCCCCCGCCCCGUUUACUCAACAGCCCCUCCAAAUCUCCAUCGCCUGCCUCAAGCGGGAUCGUCCUCAUACCGUUCAGUACCCGAAGAGAUCAGAGGCCAGCUAGUCAAGAACUCUCCGUUUCCCACACACCCCCCACCCCCGUUUGAACGUCCCUCUAUUUCUCUCCAUCCACCCCUCCCCUUUCCCUUUGGUUUUCCAGGAAGAGGGAUUCAGCUUGGCAGUUCCAGGGUCCUGGCUCCACGUGGGGUGCCCUGGGAACCAUCUGCUCAGCCUCCCCCAAAGAUCUCGUUCCCUCAGUUUGCCAGCUGCUGCCAAAAGACCUCGACUCCUCGUCAGCCAUCCAGUCAUCGCCUUGUCUCUCACCGGCUCCUCGAAAGACUCCCCAAAUCUCGUCGCCGUCACGUCCUAGCAAGAGGCCAGGGCACGCCCUUCGGUUCCUUCAUCUUCCUAAACUCUCUGUGGUGUCUGAGGAAUGCUGCCCACGUCUUCAGUCUCUGCAAGUUCUCUCCACCCUCUUUCUCUGGGGGAUGGCCCCCUCCCCAGGCACGGUCUUCAGGGAACAGGAACCCCUCGGGUCUCAGAGCAAGCUCAUGCGCUCCUACGAUUCGACUCGCCCCCAGAUGCCCAGGGCUUCUGAGUGCGUACGACUGA